rnacentral:rRNA from 1 species
GAGGAAUAUUGCGCAAUGGGCGAAAGCCUGACGCAGCGACGCCGCGUGGAGGAUGACGGUCUUAGGAUUGUAAACUCCUGUUAAGUGGGAAGAAAGGCUCGCUUUUAAUAGAAGCGAGAGAUGACGGUACCAUUAGAGAAAGCACCGGCUAACUUCGUGCCAGCAGCCGCGGUAAUACGAGGGGUGCAAGCGUUAUUCGGAUUCAUUGGGCGUAAAGGGUGCGUAGACGACUUAUUAAGUCAACUGUUAAAUUCUCCGGCCUAACUGGAGAUCUGCGGUAGAAACUGAUAGGAUAGAGGGUGGAAGAGAGAAGUGGAAUUCUCGGAGUAGCGGUAAAAUGCGUAGAUCUCGAGAGGAACACCGAUGGCGAAGGCAGCUUCUUGGUCCAUACCUGACGUUGAGGCACGAAAGCGUGGGGAGCAAAC